ensembl:lncRNA
UAACGCUGUACAAUGCUGCACAGUUUUUUCCAUGGCCAUUUAUUUCCUGACCAAAGUCCGAUACAGACCUUAUCCGGCGACAAGAUAUUUUUGUUACAAAAUCAUUUUCAUAGAACAUAAGGAUGGAAGCAAUACCCAGCACCAGUACUCUUUGAAACAGAAUAUCUUCACAAGAUUACAGAGCAGUGGGAGAAGUCAUGUGUGACAUCAGACCUCAACACUAACUAGGAGCAAGAAUGCCAAAGCGACAGACAACUUAUCAAUCUCUAACCAUCCAGAUCCAAGUUCCAGACCAGACCAUCAUCUGAAAGGAAUUAACUUAAAUUGACAUGGUGAUUAACCUACCACAACACAGCGAGUUGGAGGCCAGGAGUGGAGGUCCAACCUACAACUUCAAGUCAAAUGGAAGAAAGUAACACUCUUGGAAGUAGGUUGAAUGAGUAUAACACAAAACAAUAGUCCAGUAGUCCUGUUAUACUUUCAAUGUUACUCAGCCCUGUCCUUGUCUCUUCUAGCUCCAAGACCUUGUUUUCAGACCUGUGAGCAACGUGUCCCACCCAACUCUACAGUACUUGUUGUUCAAUAUUAUAAAUAAAAUGACGGCAGGGUCGUUUGGAAAGACUUUGCACCUACUUCAAACACCUGAUUCAACUAAAAUGUUAAAGUAGUAUGACAACCCCUAACAGUACGAGUGUGCAGUUUUAAUGCUUUGUUUGCAUUUCAGACCUCAAAGUUGUCCUCAACCGGGGACAGAAUGUUAAGCAAACCGUGUGGUAUGUGUUCGAGAAGGUCUUCACACUGGACUUUGCAACCCAACUGAACUGGUUUCGGGAGGGGGCAGAAGACUGUCAUCUGGUCAAUGCAACUGAAAGAUGCUAUUUUGUGUUCUGUUCUUUAAAACCCACGUUUGCCAGGAAUUACUGAGUUCGAGGUUGAAAGGGCGGGGACGGCAGCUGGAGAGAGAGACCUGCGGAAGAAGAGGACGAUUAAUUUGUAGCCUAUAUAAUGCACAGUUCUAUAUCGUGAAGCUUUGCCCAUAGGGGCUUUGCUCCUAUUGGUUUACCCCUCUGCCAAUAGGGAGGCGCUGCCAAAUAUGCAAAUCACACCUCUCAAGGCCAUCUGCCCCAUGCCUAUAAAAAAGGUCGACACACCCCAAUCUGCCUCGCUUCUGUCUUCACGAGAAAGUUUAUUAUGCACUCAGGGAUUUCUACAACGCCAAGGAUGGCUUCACCUAUUUCAGCCACUGGAGCGCUUCUUCUGACGCGGCACCCCGGCCGCCGACGUCUGUCGGCCUGCUGGUGUAGCAAGCUGGACCCGGCGGUGGACCGCUGCAUGCUCGUGACGGUGCCAUCGAGGAGCCUGUGUGCUCCGCCUGUGCCGUCCUCCCUUUACCUGUGAGGAUGGAAAGGCUGGUGUACUUCGCAGAGGAGGUCCCCCUCUGACGUCCCCCUCUGACGUCCUCUCUCUCCUCUCUGAGGAGGACUCCUUUCAGGAGUCUGGGUCGGAGGCUGAGGAGACCGGCCCGGUCUUGGUUCCGCCCGCCUCGGGAACUGUUCUCCUCUCGGCUGAGCGGGUGCGGAGUUGUUCCGGUUCUUCCUCUUCGGAGGAGGUGGUGGUUGCGCCCCCCAAGGACAGGAGUGUCGACCCCCCGGCAGUGAACGAGGAUUUCUUUGCUGCCAUCUCUGCUGCUGCCCAGCGCCUGCGAAUUCCUAGGAGAUUGUUGACCUUUUUGAGGAUGCCCACAGGACGCCGCCCAACGCCAGAGGAGGCGUGAGGUGCUCCUUUCAUGACCCGGGGGACUGUGAAGUCUCCCCUCGCCUUCACCACGCUGGCGUCCUCCCUGGCUUGAGCACUUGGACUGACAAGCGCCCUGCUGUCGGUGAGGGACUGUGUCUCCCUCCGCCAGCCUGGCGGAGAAGCAGUACGCCCUCUCGGUGCAGUCUCGCGACCUGCAAUAACGUGGACCUUCUUGCAGCGGCUGUGGCCGGAAUCUCGUUGUCCCCAGCUGAGGUGAGCGAGGUGGCUCGGGCUUCGGCGGCCAUCUUAAAGCUCACGCAGGCCAACUCCCUCGGCCAGUUCUGAGUGGAGCGUCGCCCAUAGGGUUCAUGCCCUGACCGGUCACUGACGGAUUUCUCGUGAAGAAAGGUAUGUCGGGAGACAGAGCAGAGUAGGACGACCUCUUUUAUAGCCAUGAGAGGUGUGAUUUGCAUAUUUAAAUGUUCAGCGCCUGCCUAUUGGUAGAGGGGUAAACCAAUAGGAGCAAAGCCCCUAUGGGCGACUGGGGUUACGAAAGUAUCCAUCGUUGUUGGGUGUUUUUGUUUAGGCUUCUUUUAUUUUUUUCUGUUCGUUAAAUUGUACAUUCUAUAAAUGAAGUUCAUACCUUAGUCUUUCUGUUCUCGUCACUUUACUUCAGCAGUAGCUGAAACAUCGGCAGUAGAUCUAUUAACCGCCAGCAGUAGAGCUAUUAAAUGUUGGCUAAACAACGGCGGAGAAUCGUCGUUCAAAUAUCGGCGGAAGAGAGCAGCCGACGGCCAUACUGCAUUCCGUGUGUAUGUUGGGCCGACAGCGGUAAGACGUAUGUGUGCUAACUGAGGGAGUACUUGGAUGCAUGUUAUGGAGCAUUGUCCUGCAUAAAGAACAUGGCCUUCUUGAAUGCUGAGGACUUCUUCCUGUACCACUGCUUGAAGAAAGUAUCUUCCAGAAACUGGCAGUAGGUAUGGGAGUUGAGAUUCAGUCUUCAACCCGAAAACGUCCAACUACCUCAUCCUUAAAUUUUAGCAGCCCAUACCAGUAACCCUCCACCUUGCUGGCGCCUGACUCGAAGUGGUGCCGUGUUCAUUAGUCCAUCUGGUCCAUCAAGAGUCACUCUCAUUUCAUCUGUCCAUAAAACCUUUGAAAAAUCAGUCUUCAGGUAUUUCUUUGCCCAAUCUACAUGCCUCAGUGUGUGAAUCUUAUUCAGUGGUGGUCUUUUUUCAGCCUUCUUGACCUUGGCCAUGUCUCAGCAUUUGACACCUUAUACUUCUAGACACUUCAGGUAGGUUGCAGUUCUGGAAUAUGGUGGCCCUGGAGGAUAAUGGGUUCCUGGUAGAUUCACAUUUAAUUCUUCUCAAGUCUUUUGCAGUUAAUUUGCAUCUUCUCCAUGCAUUUUUUGCCACCCAGUUGACUAUUCACAACAAAACGUUUGAGUGUCCAGUGGUCACGCCUCAAUAGUUUAGCUAUUUCAAGUGUUGCAUCCGUCUGAAAGGCAUUUUAUUAUUUAACUUUUCAGUGUUAAAUCUAUUUAUUGGCCCAUUUUACCUGAGGUCAUGAAGCUGCCUAAUAAUUCUGCACACCUUGAUAUAAGGUGUUAUUCACUUACAUCACCCCCUCCCUCAUUACACAAAUGUAUCACCUAAAAAUUAUUCAAAUUCAAUGAGCAUUCAAGUUUAUAUGAUUUGGAGUUGGAAAAUUUGCAUAGAAAUAUGAUCAGAAUAUUCACUUGCCUAAUAAUUGUGCACGUAUUGUACAAUGUUGAGGUAUGUUCUCUCAUCUGUCAUAUUAUUUGGUAAAAAAAUAUACAACCAUAUAUGAUUUAUGACCAGAGUUGAUUAUUUUCUUUUGAGUGCUUGUAUUUUAAUAUGUUCUUGUGACCACAUGACCUGAACUUACUUAACACUGUGCAUGACCAAAUCUUUCUUUAAAGACUGAUGCUUUUCCAGUGCCAUGUUACGUGUGGGGAAGAAAGUGUUCAUUCUUUAGGGAUGCUUUUUUUAUUUUAGAAUGUUUCCACCUCCAUGCUUACUGG